rnacentral:lncRNA from 1 species
AAGGCCAUCACCCAGGUCAGCAAGGGCACCUGCGAGCAAGGCCCACUUUGCUCUUCCAAAGACUGCAUUGCCUUUACUGAAGGCUAGCUACAUCGAUGGCACACCACAUGAACAUGAUGAGUCGUCCUGUGAAGGAACCAAGCCAUCUGCAAUACAACCGCUGUUUGGAAACUUCAUCUUCUUACUGAGCUUGGCUGUCUGCUACAUGCUCCCUGUGGAGUGGAACAUCCGCAGACAUUUUAAAGGAACAGCUUUGUGUCCCACCAAAGGCACCCAUCCCUGGGUCUCUUAAGCUGCCAGGCGUCAGUGCUGUUUUGCACAGACGAUGCUAUUAAUAGCAUUGCAGUCUUUGGUUUCAAUGUAGAGGCUCUCAGGGACUUACCCUGGGAAUAGAGACAUCAGCAGAUUUCCAGAUGUUUCUUGGUUAUUGGAAUACCCUGACAGAUUUUUAGCUGUCAUGUCCUUCAGUCCAGCAAUCCAGAUGUUCUUUCUCUGCCAUUUGUCAUGGGGUAUAGCCAGGAUCUUAACUACUAGACACCUCUAGUAUUCUAAUAGAGUGUUAAUGGCAUUGGCAACACAGGGUAUGAGAAAUAACCUCAAUUUAAGUUAUUUUGUGGCAUCAGAACACAGUGCCAUUUAUGCUUUCUGUAAAAAUAUCCUUUGUAUCUUCCAGCUUCUGGCACUACUGACUUUGGAUCUGUGGGCAGUAUUUGGAUCAAGAGCAGUACUGUUACAGAUUGAAAACUCAGGGAGACGCACACACAUGUUAGUUUCAGACUUCUGUGUUCCUGAGGAUUGCUUUAACUUGUGAUCUCCCUGGCCCUGCCUCCCCAGGGCUGGAUUUGUAGAAAUGCACAACCAUGCCUGGUUCAUGUGUGCUGAGGACCAAUCCCAGGGUUCUAUGCAUGCUGGGUGCUGAUGACUGAACACUUAGACUCACACAUCAUAUGUGGACACUGCUGAUAUUGGAUGAUGUCAAGGUUCAGAAGACCUUCCAGAGGAUUUCGAGGAUCUUCUGUCCUCAAGGAAUCGAUUACAGAUUUCUACUUGCAGAAAAGCUCAGCUGGACACAGCUCAAGUGAGCUGCACAUAUAUUCUCCCUCUACAACCCACUAUAAAGGAGUGGAUGCUCUCUGGAACAUUCUAACCCCACUGCAGAGGCUCAGAACAGAGUAACAAUCACUGGUGUGGACAAUGUAUCUAAGGCUUAAGCUGGUGAGUAACAC